rnacentral:SRP_RNA from 1 species
GCCGGGGAAUUUCUGGGAGAAAAUACUUCGAACUAGGUCAGGACCGGAAGGUAGCAGCCUUAAGGAGAUGUUUUUUCGCUAGAUUGUCUCUCCGGCAUU